CUUCCUUUCUUGGGAGACAGGGAGACCAGGAUCUUAGUUGGCUCAGGCUGGCCUCAAACUCACUAUGAUUCUCCUGCCUCUACCUCCCCAGUGCUGUGUGCAUCACCACGCCCGAUUUUAUGAGGUGUUAGGGGUCAAACCCAGUGUAUCCUGAAUGAUAUAGGCAAGCGCUCUACCAAGUUGCCCACAUUCCCGGCCCCGAUUUUACUAUUAAAGAUGAAAGCUAGUUUACACAUUAACGAGAUUAAUGUUUGUCUAAUACAGUGCAGAGACUGGAAUGAGCGAACGGACGAGGGAAACACAGGAAGCAAGUUCAGACUGAGUCACCUGGGGUGGGGGCGGGGGCUCUCCCUAGGCGACCCAGGGUGGAGCGGGUGGGCCCAUCCUCACCACAUCCUGAGCCUUUGCUGUCAGAAGGCUCCCAGGAGCUUGGAGAGAUGUCUCAGUCGGUAGUACCGUGAUUGCCUUGCAAGCGUGAAUCGUGAAUUUCACCCCCAGGACUAAUGUUAAAAGCUUGCAAUGCACCACCGUGGAGGAGGCAGAGACAGUUCAAGGGCAAUAGACACUCUUGUAGAGGACCCAGGUUCAGUUCCCAGCCCUGGCUGUCCCAGAAUUCACUCUGCACACCAGGCAGGCAGAGAUCACCUGUUGCUGCCUCCCAAGUGCUGGGGCUGAAGUUGCGUGCCACCACUAUAGAAAAACCUUUAAAAACAAUAACUGUGUGAACAGUUUAAAAAGAUCCAACCAAGCAAAGGUGGACGGCACAUGAAGAGACACAUGAGGUUGACCCCCGGUCUCCUCCAUGUGCUCCCAGACACCCAGACAAAUAAGAGGGUGACGGAUGCUCAGGCCUGCCAGUCACCUCCAACAAUGAUGGCAGUUAUUAGUCUGUUGUUCAUUAUCUACUCAGCCACUGUCCCUGCAGACGGGUGGCACUGGCUUCCCACUUUCUAAGCAGUCCUUGGUUGUGUCAUUUUAUUUAUAAAAUAAACAUAUUUUCUUUAUUUUUAUUUAUUUAUUUAUUUUUGGUUCUUUUUUUCGGAGUUGGGGACCGAACCUAGGGCCUUGCGCUUCCUAGGCAAGCGCUCUACCACUGAGCUAAAUCCCCAACCCUCUUUAUGUUUUUUUUAAACGUAAGUACGUACAUGCAUGUGUAUGUGCCUGCAUGCGUGCAUGUGUGUAAUUUAUAUGACUACACUGUCAUUGUCUUCAGACACACCAGAAGAGGGCAUCGGAUCCCAUCACAGAUGAUUGUGAGCCACCAUGUGGUUGCUGGGAAUUGAACUCAGGACCUCUGGAAGAGCAGUCAGUGCUCUUAACCACUGAGCCAUCUCUCCAGCCCCUCUUUCUAUCUUUUGUCUACGUUGGCUUUGAACUCCGUAUGUAGUCGAGGAUGACCUUGAACCCCUGCCUCCACGUUCCGAGAUUACAGGCCUGGCCACAACACUUGGUUCAUGGUUUUGUGCUAGGCAAGCGCUCUGUCAGCUUGCUAGUGUGUAGCCCAGGCUGUCCUCAAACCCGUGAUUCUCCUGCCUCCCAUUCUCCAGCAUUUGCCUCCUGGGCUUCGAUACACGCUACUGGUUUUUGUUUUUUUCAUUUUAAGAAAUGAAUUGAAGGUAAGUCUCUCAGCCUGACCCUGGGGUGCUGUCCAGAUCUGGGAGUUAAGGCGAGAAUCUGAUCAUCUGGGAAGGCAGCUUCUGUUACCUGCACUUGCCACUUAGGCCGGCCAUGGUUGGUCACUCCACAGUGUAGUGCUGUCCAGAUAGGCCAGGCUGCGGAAGAGAGUGGGACACAUUGUCUGCAUUCCUGAGGUCCCCUCACCAUCCUCCCACUGCGUGCGGCUUCCACCCUAGACCUGUCUGGUAUUUUUAGCUUCCAGAGCGGCACCCUGCACAGCCCCGAACACUGACCAAAUUUAGAAAUCUCAAGAGUCUCAGCUGGAAGGCGCGAUGGAUGAAUGGGCGCUGGUGACUGGGCUGCCGCUGACAGGACUCUGCUGAUGGUGGGGAGGCCUGGAGGUCCUGAGCAGCCAGAGAGAAUCGAGACAAGGUCACCCCUGUGCUCCCCCAGCCCUGGGAACAGCAAAGCUCACACGAUAUGCGUGUGCAUCAGAACCUGGCAGGGUUAGAGAUCUGAGAGAUAACAGACACCUUAUCUGACUACAUAGUUCCUUUCCAUCUGGUUCUCCACGUCGUCAACAUUCACAGACACGCUGAAUAUUGAACGGCACAGCCCCCAGUUAGGGAAAGGACUUUACUCCGCCAAGAGCUUCAAAGGAUCUAGUACUGAACCUGGGACCCACAGAUUCACCAACAGAGGCAGAGGUGUCCUCCAGUCACCCUGCUGAAUCUCCAAGUCUCUAAACUGUCUUAGGAGAAGUCCUUCCCAGGCAAGUCCCCCACCUACCACCUUCACCGGCAAGUUCUCCAAACGUCCUUAAGCUUAGCAGCCAUAUUCCUGUUUCUCUUUUGCUCUCUCUUUGGGUAAGGCACAAAGUAAGCUUCCAAGAUUGAGUUAGGACUUUGUGCACUCCGUAUCACCGGGACCAGCGUUUGAGAAGGAGACGGCUGCCCUCUGGCGGCCACUCGGUGCACUGCAGCAGUCUUAGAGCCCAGCGCUGGAAUCCUCCGCCCUUCAGCCUGCGUGAUCUCGCCUCCAGGAUGGGGAUUGGAACAGAGUCAACAUUCCAGCCAAGCUUUGCUGACUGAUCCAAGUCUGUUUAUAGGGAGAUUCUGACUGCUCUUUAGAGAACUAACAGGCUUGUUUUAUUUUUUAAGACAAGGUCUUAUACAGUUCAAGUUGGCUUUGAAUUCACUAUGUAUUUAUUUCUGUUUUAUUGGUUCUUUUUUUUUUUUUUUUUUUUUUUUUUUGGACCUGGGGACCGAACCCAGGGCCUUGCGCUUCCUAGGUAAGCACUCUACCACUGAGCUAAAUCCCCAGCCCCUUAUUUCUGUUUUAUGUGUGAGUGUUUUGCCUGCAUGUAUGUCUGUAUACAACAUCCCUGGUGGCAGGAAGAGGGGUGUCAGAUCCCCUGGAACUGGAGUUCCUAACAGUUGUGAGCUGCCGUGUGCCUGCUGGAAACUGGACCUGGGUCCUCUGCAUAAGCAGACAGUGCUCUGUAACCACUGAGCAAACUCUCCAGCCUUAUUUGUUCUUAAACUGAGAAGAUUAAACUGCUGGCAAGUACACAGGAGAGUUCCCACUGUGGUACCUCUCCUUUUUUAAAGAUUGAUUUAUUUAUUUAAUGUGUGUGAAUUCACUGUUGCUGUCUUCAGACACAGCAGAAGAGGGCAUCAGA